UCAAAUGCAGCGACGAGGAGAGUAGUCUUCACCAACCAAUCUCAGGGAGUCCCGAAAAGUGAGAAGGGAUAUUGGCAAUGAAGUCGAAAGUAACCUCCAAGCAGUAAAUGCGAUUUAUGAGUGUUUACGGUGGACACACCUUACAGUGUUAGAGCAUCGCCUAAGGGCUGUGCUUGAAGAGGUAGUUGGGACAACAGCCAGCUACAACAUAGGUGGUACCGCGCAGAAGCGUCCUUGAU
rnacentral:ncRNA from 1 species